rnacentral:rRNA from 1 species
AGUGGCGGACGGGCGAGUAACACGUAAUAAGCUGCUGCAGACGGGGAUAACCUCGGGAAACCGAAGCUAAGACCCGAUGAGAGGUGAUUGCGGCCCAUCAGCUAGUUGGUAGGGUAACGGCCUACCAAGGCUACGACGGGUAGCCGGCCUUAGAGGGUGGUCGGCCGCACUGGGACUGAGACACUGCCCAGACUCCUACGGGAGGCUGCAGUCGAGAAUCUUCCGCAAUGGGCGCAAGCCUGACGGAGCGACGCCGCGUGGAGGACGAAGGCCUUCGGGUUGUAAACUCCUGUCACGAGUUAUGACGUAAGCUCGAGAGGAAGCACUGGCUAACUCUGUGCCAGCAGCCGCGGUAAUACAGAGAGUGCGAACGUUGUUCGGAAUUACUGGGCUUAAAGCGCACGUAGGCGGCGUCGUAAGUGUCGGGUGAAAUCCCACGGCUCACCCGUGGAACUGCCCGGCAGACUGCGAUGCUAGAGUGUGGUAGGGGAGAGCGGAACUCCUGGUGGAGCGGUGAAAUGCGUAGAUAUCAGGAGGAACACCGGUGGCGAAGGCGGCUCUCUGGUCCACAACUGACGCUGAGGUGCGAAAGCUAGGGGAGCAAACGGGAUUAGAUACCCCGGUAGUCCUAGCUGUAAACGAUGGGCACUAGCUUGGGCAGGUGAAGUAAAAAUGAUAAG